GACUCUCGGCAACGGAUAUCUCGGCUCUCGCAUCGAUGAAGAACGUAGCAAAAUGCGAUACUUGGUGUGAAUUGCAGAAUCCCGUGAACCAUCGAGUCUUUAAACGCAAGUUGCGCCCGAAGCCAUCCGGCCUAGGGCACGCCUGCCUGGGCGUCACGCAUAG
rnacentral:rRNA from 1 species